GUUACUGCUAUCGGAGUUCGAUUAAGCCAUGCGAGUCUAAAGGUUUCUUCGGAAACCUUGGCGGACCGCUCAGUAACACGUGGAUAACCUACCCUUGGGACUGGAAUAACCCCGGGAAACUGGGGAUAAUACCGGAUAGAUCAGGGAUGCUGGAAUGCACCUUGGUCCAAAGCUCCGGCGCCCAAGGAUGGGUCUGCGGCCUAUCAGGUAGUAGUGGGUGUAACGUACCUACUAGCCAACGACGGGUACGGGUUGUGAGAGCAAGAGCCCGGAGAUGGAUUCUGAGACACGAAUCCAGGCCCUACGGGGUGCAGCAGGCGCGAAACCUUUACAAUGUGCGAAAGCAUGAUAAGGGAACUCCGAGUGCCAGUAUCUAAUACUGGCUGUCCUUGUGCCUAAAACGCACAAGAUAGCAAGGGCCGGGUAAGACCGGUGCCAGCCGCCGCGGUAACACCGGCGGCCCGAGUGGUAGCCGCUAUUAUUGGGUCUAAAGGGUCCGUAGCCGGUUCGAUAAGUCCUCUGGGAAAUCUGGUUGCUUAACAAUCAGACUGCCAAGGGAUACUGUCGAACUUGAGACCGGGAGAGGUAAGAGGUACUUCAGGGGUAGGAGUGAAAUCUUGUAAUCCCUGGGGGACCAUCUGUGGCGAAGGCGUCUUACCAGAACGGGUCUGACGGUGAGGGACGAAAGCUGGGGGCGCAAACCGGAUUAGAUACCCGGGUAGUCCCAGCCGUAAACGAUGCUCGCUAUGUGUCAGGUACGGUGUGACCGUAUCUGGUGCCGUAGGGAGGCCGUGAAGCGAGCCACCUGGGAAGUACGGCCGCAAGGCUGAAACUUAAAGGAAUUGGCGGGGGAGCACUACAACGGGUGGAGCCUGCGGUUUAAUUGGAUUCAACGCCGGA
rnacentral:rRNA from 1 species